UCUAUUUUGUCAAACGCGUUUUCUGCACCUAGGGAGAUGAUCAUAUGGUUUUUAUCUUUCAUUCUAACGAUGCGGUGCUUCGUUUAUAGACGUGCACGUGUUGAAAGAUCCUUGUUUUCCGGCUGCAGGUUCCUCCUGCCCGUGCCUGGAGAUGAGAGCUGCCUGCCCCGUAGACCGUGACAAAGAACAGGGCAGACAGAGACAGUCCGAGGCUCAGGCUGAGGCGCUCUUUGGUGACACUGCUCGUUGAAAUGCUUCCACCAGCCACAGGCCGCUCUAGACACUGGCCACCUUCUUGCUGUGACACCUGCCUCCAGGACAAGGCAGCUGUGCCUUUACUUUCCUCACUUGUCCUGAGGACCUAUUUGGAGACGCUCAGGACCCUUGUCAGGACUUCGGGGAAGCAAGCAGCAGCGUAAUAAACUGGAAAAACACUUUGGGGAAGGAUGAUACAAGUGAGAGCCAACCACAAGGAGCUCUGAGAAUUGUGGGUUCGGAACCUCAGGGAAUGAGGCCUCUGAUGACACGGGAGUACAGAAUGGGCAGUGGGGCCGACCUAGCCAGCUGUCCCAGCGCUCUUCUCCACAGAUCUGAAUCAAGGCCGAGAAGCCACAAAGUCCUACUCUGCAGGGAAAGCUGGCCAAGACAGGAGGUGAUGGACAUGUGGAGCUGGCCAGGGUCAUCGGCAGUCAAGCGGCUACAAGCUCCUCCGGAAUUGACCUUGUCCCUGGUCGCCUGCCACCACCCUCUCCCUGGACCGUUCUAGAACUAACACAGUCAGGAUGCUGCCGUUCACAUGGAGCUCCUCCCGAACUGGCUCCUGGAGCUCCUCGUUUGGAGUCAGGAACCUGUGGGCAAUCUCCGCAUCCAUGGCCGAGGGGAAAGGUAUAGUGAGGGUGCUGGUGGAGACUGGGUUAAGGCACCAUCCACAGUACUAAUUUUGCCUGUGCCUCAGGCCUCCUCUUCAGUGAGGCCUGCCUUCCCCACCCCAGGCUGACCCUCAGGCUGUCCACAACCUCCCACCCUAUACAGCCAGGCCACCCCGGAUAGCAUUGUCCCUACCGCUUCAGUCCCAUCAGGCGGUCCACCCCACUCCCCAUCCUCUGUCAGCACGGGCCAAACCCUAGCCAAUACCCUCCAGGUGCCCGGAGCUCCCUCCUGCUCCCCUUUCAACUCCACUUCCCCAAGUCUCCCCCCACACCCCACCCCGCCGUGCGCCAAACCACCUCCAGCCCAUCCCCCUGCCGUCCAGCCCGCUGGGACUCCUUGAAUAGGAUACAACUGAAGCAGUCGGUUACCAGGACCUCUAGCGCCAGGUGCGGCAUCUCCACCAGGACCUGGUGUGUAGGGUGCCCGCUCCAUUUGGAGAGCGCCACCAGAGGCGGCACCUACCUCUCCCACAAUGCUGGUUCUUUCCGGAUCGCUCAGGCCUCCGGGGUUGCUGGGAUGGCCAGGGUCACAGGCACCACCCGAACCACCAGGGACUCUGGGGCCGCUGACACCGCGAGGUCCACCUGGCACACACUGGCCACCACCUGCUGCGCCCACCACCACGCCCACGGCACCCGUGCCUUCGUCUGCUGCCCUCACGGGGCCUCCACCAGCCACCUGAGACCCAACUUUGAAUCCUCCCACCCUCUCAAGGCAUCACUGAAGGACAAAGCGCUCUCUCACAAUGCUUCACCCCUUUACUCCACAAUGCAAUUCCGCAUGCCCAGAGCAACUGUCCACACGGACCGCUGGUAAUGCCUCCUGACCUGUGAUUGGUUCCCACCAAGCAGUCCCUUCUGUAGCCAAUCAGUUCUCACCUAUGAAGCUCCACCCCUUAGAGUGCCACGACACCCUAGGGCGUCUGCCCAAAUGGGCACCCGCGUGGAUGCGUCUGCCUGAACCAGCCGUGCCACGAGCCUUCGACGGCCCGCCAGCUGCGAUAUCCAGGAAGCCUCUGCCUGACACUACUCCCCACACGGUGGUGCGGCUCAUGGUCCCCACUGUCCAUGCCCAAACAGACUGCCAUGGCCCAACUCCUAAAGCCUCUGAGCACGUGACUGAGCUGCGGAGAACGCCGUGACUCUGUAGUUACGAAUCUGUACCUGAGCGUCUCUAAAUAGGUCCUCAGGACAAGUGAGGAAAGUAAAGGCACAGCUGCCUUGUCCUGGAGGCAGGUGUCACAGCAAGAAGGUGGCCAGUGUCUAGAGCGGCCUGUGGCUAGUGGAAGCAUUUCAACGAGCAGUGUCACCAAAGAGCGCCUCAGCCUGAGCCUCGGACUGUCUCUGUCUGCCCUGUUCUUUGUCACGGUCUACGGGGCAGGCAGCUCUCAUCUCCAGGCACGGGCAGGAGGAACCUGCAGCCGGAAAACAAGGAUCUUUCAACACGUGCACGUCU